rnacentral:rRNA from 1 species
UGGCGGACGGGUGAGUAACACGUGGGUAACCUACCCAUCAGAGGGGGAUAACACUUGGAAACAGGUGCUAAUACCGCAUAACGUCGCAAGACCAAAGAGGGGGACCUUCGGGCCUCUUGCCAUCGGAUGUGCCCAGAUGGGAUUAGCUAGUAGGUGGGGUAACGGCUCACCUAGGCGACGAUCCCUAGCUGGUCUGAGAGGAUGACCAGCCACACUGGGACUGAGACACGGUCCAG